UACGUAGGGUGCAAGCGUUAAUCGGAAUUACUGGGCGUAAAGCGUGCGCAGGCGGUUAUGUAAGACAGUUGGGAAAUCCCCGGGCUCAACCUGGGAACUGCAUCUGUGACUGCAUAGCUAGAGUACGGUAGAGGGGGAUGGAAUUCCGCGUGUAGCAGUGAAAUGCGUAGAUAUGCGGAGGAACACCGAUGGCGAAGGCAAUCCCCUGGACCUGUACUGACGCUCAUGCGCGAAAGCGUGGGGAGCAAACAGG
rnacentral:rRNA from 1 species